rnacentral:rRNA from 1 species
GAUGAACGCUGGCGGCGUGCUUAAUACAUGCAAGUCGAACGGAUAGGCCCUGCUUUUGUGGGGUUCUCGAUUGGCGAACGGGUGAGUAACACGUGAGUAACCUCCUCCUGACUUUCUGAUAACUUCAUGUAACUGCGGCUACUACUGCAUAGUAGCUCUUGCUGCCUGGUGGGGCUUGGUUAGUUUCGGCUGUUGGGGAUGGUCUCGCGGCUUAUCAGCUUGUUUGUUGGGUAGUUGCUUACCAAGGCUUUGACGGGUAGGCGGCCUGGGCGGGUGGCCAGCGACAUUGGGACUGAGAGACGGCGCAGACUGGUACGGGAGGCAGCAGGGGAGAAUAUGGCAGAGUGAGCGGGAGCGUGAGGCGACAGCGCUGCGUGCGGGAAGACGGCCUGCGGGGGAAAAACCGCUUUAGCAUGUGACGAAGCGUGAGUGACGGUAAUGGGUAAGGAAGCAACGGCUAACUACGUG